rnacentral:rRNA from 1 species
UGCCANCAGCCGCGGUAAUACGUAGGGUACAAGCGUUGUCCGGAAUUAUUGGGCGUAAAGAGCUCGUAGGUGGUCUGUCACGUCUGCUGUGGAAACGCAAGGCUCAACCUUGCGCGUGCAGUGGGUACGGGCGGACUAGAGUGCAGUAGGGGAGUCUGGAAUUCCUGGUGUAGCGGUGAAAUGCGCARAUAUCAGGAGGAACACCGGUGGCGAAGGCGGGACUCUGGGCUGUAACURACGCUGAGGAGCGAAAGCAUGGGGAGCGAACAGGAUUAGAUMCCCUGGUAGUCCAAGGGCGAAA